rnacentral:tRNA from 1 species
GAAGAGGUCUUGGCUCAGUGGUAGAGCCUCUGCUUUGCAUGCAGAAGGUCCCAGGUUCAGUCCUUGCCAUCUUCA